UUGGAUUCCAGACUAAGUAUGAACAUCCCGAACAUGCGAAACUUUUGUGCGCCUAAGGUGGAUAUGCUGGAAGAAAAUAUUGUUCAAACACGUAGUAUUGAUCAAUACAGGGCAUAACGGGCUGAUCACCCGCGUGCCCAUAAGUUAUGACGGUUUGCAGAUGAAGUUCUGUUUAACCUUUUCGAAAAUUAAAAACAAAGUUCAUAGUCUGUCGAUUGUUCACCAAUUAUAGUCAGUACGUAGUUUCAAAAUUUGAAAUAGAAUUGAUAUGUUGUUUAGUGUUGCUUCAGUUUACUUCACAACUAUUGAUUCGUUGUAGAAGUGUCGUUCAAAAAAAAUAUUUACUUCUUUCAGCUUACAUUUAUGGUUUGUUAAUACUUGUUGGGUACUCAAAUGCUCAUUCUUGCUUAAUUUGAAUGUUUUCAGCUAAGCGUGAACAACCUGAAG
rnacentral:lncRNA from 1 species